rnacentral:rRNA from 1 species
UACGUAGGGGGCAAGCGUUGUCCGGAAUCAUUGGGCGUAAAGCGCGUGUAGGCGGACUGGAAGGUCUGGUGUGAAAGCCCGGGGCUCAACCCCGGAGGGUCACUGGAAACCGACAGUCUCGAGUCCGGAAGAGGAGAGUGGAAUUCCUGGUGUAGCGGUGGAAUGCGCAGAUAUCAGGAGGAACACCUAUGGCGAAGGCAGCUCUCUGGUACGUGACUGACGCUGAGACGCGAAAGCGUGGGGAGCGAACAGG